UCAUUUCAGCCACAAGCACGUCCUCCCCCUCUCCAUGGAAGACCAAAAGCUUAAGCUUUUUAAUUUCCAAAUAUUUGUCAUUUAAUCGGUAAAUCGAUCGGGUAAUCUUGUAUCCGCCAGCAAAUCGAGCGAAGGAGCAUAUAGUGCGUUUUGAUCACAAAGGAGUGGAUUUAGAGGGUAGAGAAGUAUCAAGGUGAAAUAGGCUUAUGUUCAUAAGCCUGCGAGGUUAGAGUCGACAUUAUGUCAGUGGUGUUGCGCAGCUUUGCAUCUUUGGCGAGUCACUGGUGGUCAACUUGGUUUAGUAGUCGUGGCAUGUUAUGUAAUAGUUUAAUCUUUAACCUUCCGCUGGAUAAAUGUUAAGUUUUUAAAUGUAAUAGAUUUUAAUUAUGCUUUUAAGCUAAAAAGAAAAAGGAAAAAUUUCAGCA